UACGGGGGGGGCAAGCGUUGUUCGGAAUUACUGGGCGUAAAGAGCUCGUAGGCGGUCUGUUGCGUCCGCUGUGAAAACUCGGGGCUUAACCCCGAGCCUGCAGUGGAUACGGGCAGACUAGAGGUAGGUAGGGGAGAAUGGAAUUCCCGGUGUAGUGGUGAAAUGCGUAGAUAUCGGGAGGAACACCAGUGGCGAAGGCGACUACCUGGCCUGUUCUUGACGCUGAGGCGCGAAAGCUAGGGGAGCAAACGGG
rnacentral:rRNA from 1 species